GUAGGUGGCAAGCGUUGUCCGGAAUUAUUGGGCGUAAAGCGCGCGCAGGCGGUUCUUUAAGUCUGAUGUGAAAGCCCACGGCUCAACCGUGGAGGGUCAUUGGAAGCUGGAGAACUUGAGUACAGAAGAGGAAAGCGGAAUUCCACGUGUAGCGGUGAAAUGCGUAGAGAUGUGGAGGAACACCAGUGGCGAAGGCGGCUUUCUGGUCUGUAACUGACGCUGAGGCGCGAAAGCGUGGGGGAGCAAACAGGAUUAGAUACCCUGGUAGUCCACGCCGUAAACGAUGAGUGCUAAGUGUUAGGGGGUUUCCGCCCCUUAGUGCUGCAGCUAACACAUUAAGCACUCCGCCUGGGAGUACGGCCGCAAGGCUG
rnacentral:rRNA from 1 species